rnacentral:rRNA from 1 species
GACGAACGCUGGCGGCGUGCUUAACACAUGCAAGUCGAACGGAAAGGCCCUGCUUUUGUGGGGUGCUCGAGUGGCGAACGGGUGUGUAACACGUGAGUAACCUGCCCUUGACUUUGGGAUAACUUCAGGAAACUGGGGCUAAUACCGGAUAGGAGCUCCUGCUGCAUGGUGGGGGUUGGAAAGUUUCGGCGGUUGGGGAUGGACUCGCGGCUUAUGAGCUUGUUGGUGGGGUAGUGGCUUUCCAAGGCUUUGACGGGUAGCCGGCCUGGGAGGGUGGCCGGCCACAUUGGGACUGCGAUACGGACCAGACGGCUACGGGAGGCAGCAGUGGGGAAUAUUGCACAAUGGGGGGAAGCCUGAUGCAGCAACGCCGCGUGCGGGAUGACGGCCUACGGGUGGUAAACCGAUUUCGCCGGUGACGAAGAGGGAGUGACGGUAACGGGUAAAGAAGCACCGGCUAACUACGUG